GCCAGCAGCCAUAUCACCCUGCAGCUCACAACUGGCUUCCCACUGCAGCUAAGCAGGUGUGAGUCUGGUCAUUACCUGGAUGGGAGACCUUGUAGGAAAGGUGAGGUUGCUGUUG
rnacentral:rRNA from 1 species